GAAAAGCUACAACUACGCUUUACUUCCGAGCAUAAUAUGCAGUGGGCAUCACUGAACCAGAGCUUGGCUGAGAGAGGGGAAUAUGUCAGCUCCUAUUACUUCACAAGCGUCACCGCAGACGAUGCGAGAGCAACUCAUAGAUCAAGACUUCUCUGUGGGAACUUUAUGAAUCAUGCCUUCUCCAUUGGGAGCCACUGAGAAUUAUGCAUCCCGAGGCAAGAAGUCGCCCAGUGUGCUGAUGUGUCAAAUGGCAGUAUUGACAAAUAAUUACCCAAUUACAUUGAGACAUCAGUCUGAUUACCGUUCACAACUGCUGAAAUUUGUCCACCUGUAGCAGCCUUCGAAGCUGUGCUGAACCUUGUAUGCCAAGGCGGUAACAGCCAGCAUAAAGACAAGGAGCAGGGAGGAGCAGCUUGCUUGGAUCUGUCCAGAGAUAACAAAACUAAAUAGGCUGUAAAGCGCAUCAACACAUAAUAGACUUUAAUGACUAUGUUCAUAUGUUACAGACCCGGCCACUCUUCUUGCAUAAAACAGUGUUCUGCUGGCCUUAUUCUCCUCUGUGGAGAAUACGACUAAGAAACUGUCCCGCACGUAACUUCCUGUCAACCCAUUACUUCAUUUUUAUUAACGGACCAAGCAAAUCAGUUAUAACAUGGUGACUGUCUAGCUUUACAGGUUUUGGUUAGCUCCGUCCGCCUCUGUCUAUAGCACCACUUCUUUUUUGUGCUCCCACACACACAGACACACAUGGGAAUCGGCAGUGUUUUUGUAAGCGUCCUGUGUGGUGGGCGUACAAAAACGAGCUGAAUGCAUUAUAUGAAAUGUAUGAAAAGACGAAAUGCAUAUGGCCGCGCAGCGAUUUGUAUUCUGCAGACGGAUAGUGUUUUGGAAACAUUAUUCAGUUUGACUCACGGCAUGUUUGAGUCUCCCGGCCCUUUUGCUCCCUAUGUCACAUAUCUGGUGGUUCCCUCCUCCUCCUCCUCGCUCUUAUAAUCUCCUCGCUUUCUCUGGUCCACUCCUCUCAUGCUGUUGCCCCCCUUCAUUACUUUCACUCCCCCCUGCCCCACUUUUGCUUCUCCCAAACCUGCUCUGAGUCAUUCUCGGUGUCCAUCUUUCUCUCUCACCCACCACCACACACACUCCUGCCCUCUCUAAUCAAUAAUGGAUAGAGCCACACAGUGAUAGGGAUCCUCUCCUCCUUUUUGACCAACUCAGAUUUUGUGGACGAUGGCAACAUCUAUCAAGACCAUUCACUCUGCCGACCCCCGCUGCUGCUCCAACGUGAUUAGGAGUCUGCAAGCUUGUGUGCAAGCGUGCGAAUUUGCAAAAAGGGCAGGAGGAGCAAUUUGAUAACACCGUGUUAGGCUGGCCGCUUUACAUUCCCAUUCAUAACCUCCCCGGGAGACACCACUCCCGCACAAUACAAGUAAAUGCUACAGUGAUUACGGUGAGUGAAAUCAUUAUGCUUACCUCGCAGCAGGUGGGGAGGCACGACUAAGACCAGAGCUAAUCCUUGCAGCGUUAUCCGUGCUGCAGGAGGAGGAACAGAAUGGAAUUAGUUUCCCUGACUUUUAAUUACAGGUAGUACACUUGGUUUAAAGUACAAGAAGGCCACUGGUCAAACGCAUGUUGUUUAAAUGCAGGCAUCAACAGCAGAGCAUUUUGCUGAAUACACAAGGAAACACGAAAUGUGACUGAUAUAGAUUAGCGUUUGAUAUAAGGUCUAUAAGAAUUUGAAAACCCAGGAGCCAGAAUAAAUGUCAGCUGAGUUCAUUUCUGCAACCGAAAAUGACUUUAUUUUGCUACUUUCCGUUUGUUGAGGUUGGGAUUGCUCUCUUGACGUCUCGCUGUGUUCAUGGUCAGAUUAACGCACCAGGCCCCUCGGUCAGGAAAUAGCUGGAGACAUCUGCAGGUUUCCUUAAAGAAAUGCCCCGUCUUGGUGCCAUUCCGGGAAAUGUCCCCAGGCGUCUAAAUGUCCAGUCGUGUGACUCAAAUUGCGGCCUUGUCGGCUUGUAUAGCGCCACCACCAGGCACCCUGGGAGCUCAGUUGGUGUAAAUCCAUGAAAUGCCAUCACCAUUCCCUUCAUGAUGAGUAUACAUGAACCUCAUAUGCCACGUUGGGUACCAAUGACAACCUGUGACACAUCUAUGGUUUGCAGGAAUGCGAACAAGAAGUGCCAACAUUCGAUCCUGACAGCUGGAAUGCUUCUGGUAGCAAUCCCUUUAAAAUGAAAUAAAAAUAUCUGUUGAUAACAUAUUUUUAAGACAGCAACAGUAUUUGUAUUCAAUAUAUGUCAUGUGUCAGAAUACUUAAUACCAAAAUUCAGCUCUUUUAUCUG